rnacentral:misc_RNA from 1 species
AGCGAAGUAUCCAUCACGCAUUUUACCCUCCAACAACUCCCCCCCCCCGACACACACAUCCGUACAGCUCUCAGGCGUCUUGCUACCACACAUAAUUUGUCAAGUCAUUUAUAUCUCGCUCUUUUUCGAACUGCAUCGUGUGCUCGCCUUCAACCCUCCCCCUUCCCUCUUCCACACACAUCGUCGUCGUGCGUCUGCCUUACUUCAGAUUUUGCUAACGCGUCUUUUUGAGCUCUGUACUUUGAAGCUGCCCUCGUCACCGAGACACCACACCAGCGCGCUCCUUCCUUUUCCGCUGCACUGCUGUCGUGCCGACACGCACAUACACGUCUGACGUGGCGUGACUAAUUCUUUUUGCGCGUGUCUGGGUUGCUCUUUGUAGAUUUCGUGUCCCCUGCCUCCUCGCGUGGACAGAGCUGCAUGGAUCGGCGCUGUGGUUCGUUUUGCGGUCUUCGCACGGUGCAACAUCCGCUAGAGCCGCCUUGCUACGUCUGAGGGGUGACAGCAGCAGAGAAGAGGGCAGCACAAGGCGCGCACACACGCACACACGAUUGUAGCAGCGUUGCGGUCUACGCCCACAGCCUUCUUUUCCUUUGCACAGUCUUCUUUUUGAGUGCUCGCGCACUCAACCGCCAGACACGACAUCAUGCCAACAAGUAAGAAGUCCGCCAGCCGCGCUGCCUCUCGCAGCCGCUCUCGCUCGCGUAAGGCCAGCCGCGCGCGCUCCAGAACUCCCAGUCGCGCCAGGGUCCUCACGCCUGAGGAAGCGUACUACGCCCCAGUGGAGCGCAAGUUCACCCCAGAGAAGGAUGUGUGGCGUGGCAACUGGGAGUUCAACGGCCCCCUCGGUGUUUUGGGCAUAAUGAUCGUGUCGCAUGUGAUCAUAUACUACUUCUACGUGUGCAUCGAGUUGUUUCAGGGAACGAUCAUCUACCCCGGCCAUCCCAUGUUGAAGGGCGAGAAGAUGCAGAAAGUGUUCUUCUCCUUCCUCGCUGAGCACGCCUGCCCGACGGCGCAGACGUUCUGCAUAUUCCUUGGCUUCCUGCUGCUGGAGUACUUACUGGCCCUGGUGCUGCCCGCAUUGUACGUUAAGGGGCUGCCGCUCCCCUCCGAGAACGGGUAUCGACUGACCUACAAGUGCAACGCUGUCACCGCAUGGUACUGCUUGCUUAUCAUCGUCGGCCUUCUCCACUACUACGGGGUGUACCCGAUAAAUGAGCUGCGCCGCAACUACGGUCACUUCCUCACCGUAGCCACCAUCGUCGCGGACAUCAUCGCCGUGUGGGUCUACAUCGCUGGCUACAAGCGCCGCAUCCGCAUGACGGGCAACUUCAUCUACGACUUCUUCAUGGGCAGCGGCCUCAACUUCCGCCUUCCGGGCAACAUCGACGUGAAGCUUUUUGCCGAGUGCCGAAACUCGUGGGUGCUGCUCAUGAUGCUCACUCUCAGCUGCGCGGCGGAGCAGUACAACGAGCUGGGUUACCUCACCGGCAACAUGGUCUUCAUGAUCAGCGCCCACCUACUCUAUGUCAACGCUGUUGAGAAGGGCGAGGAGUGCAUCAUCACGACGUGGGACAUCUACUACGAAAAGUUUGGCUGGAUGCUGGCGUACUGGAACACGUGCGGCGUGCCGUUCCUCUACUGCAUGCAGUCCAUGUACAUUCAGACGGUACUCAAGAAGAAGGAGCAUCCGCGGUGGGUACUGGUGCUGAUGGCGUGCAUCCUGCUCCUGGCAUACUACUUAUGGGACGCGAUCAACUCGCAGAAGAACCACUUCCGCAUGCGCCGCAGCGGCGUGCCGAUGGAGAUCAUCCGGAACAACGCCUUCCCGCAGGUGCCGUGGUGCUACAUCGAGAAUCCCCGAACGCUCAAGAGCGCCACUGGCGAGCUCUUCGUGGACGGCUUCUACCGCUACGGCCGCAAGCUACACUACACCGUGGAUCUGGUGAUGGCGUUCCUGUGGGGCAGCGCGUGCGGCUUCGAAUCCUUUAUCCCCUUCUUCUACUUUUUCUUCUUUCUCGGUCACCUAAUGGACCGCGAGCGCCGCGACGACCACCGCUGUAGGGCCAAGUACGGCAAGAUGUGGGACGAGUAUGUGAAGCUGGUACCCUACAAGUUCAUUCCGUACAUCUACUAGAUCGAACUCUCUUUAUGAUACUGUGUUGAUGCGUGUGCGCGUGUGUGUGAUGUGCUUCGCCUUCCAUCAUUCCUUCGACCUUUUUACUUUUCCUCUUUCACUUCUUCGGCGCGGAAAUCUGCACGGAGAAAUAGAAAAAAGUGGCGGCACGCGCGAAUGGUGCCGUGUAGCAGCAGCAGCAGCCUACUUGGCGUUUGCGUGACAAGGGAGAGCACGGGCGUGACUGCUUCACUGCUUUCGUAAGCGAGGCUGCUGAUUCGCGCGUAUUCUUGUGACUCCCUACAGCUGGGAUACAUGGUGCGCACUCAGGGAGGCCAUGAAUGUGUGAAAGCAAGGGUGCGUGCACAGAAAGUGGGCCAGUGGGGGAGGGGGUAGUCGGACAAGAAACGGAGCAGCCCAUGAAGAGGCGUCCUUGGUGUACACAAAGGUUGUGACUUCUCCGCCGUCCUGCCAACCCCCUCCCCUUCCUCCCUUUUUCCCAUGAUAGCGCUCCGUGUCUUUUUGAACUGUCGAGCACGUUCCGAGCGCAUUCUCGUCAUCGGCAGCAUCACCACCUCGCACACGCAACGUCUCUUUCUUCCGUGGCGGCGGAUGGCACGCCAUCGCACGCAAGGAGAGACGCUGGCGAGCGAACAACAACAAAAGAGUCCCACGUAUUUAUGGACGUAGCCCACGCUGAGUGCGAGGGAUAAGGCUAACGAGGAGGAGGAGGAGGAAAAAUUCAGCUGUGCAGGCGAUACAGAGCGAAACCGCAAACGAACAAAAAAGAAUGCCCUAUAUGUCUUAUAAAGGGAGGAAAGA